rnacentral:rRNA from 1 species
CAUUAAAUUUCGUGUCGGCCCAAGGCCCACUAAUUCUAGUUGAAACAUUAACCCAUCACUUGUUUCUCUCGAUCCAUGGAUACUUUUAGUCAAAUAAGAAUUUCUCCAAUUAAAUGAAAAAGGAAAUUACAUAAAUAUACCAUUUAAAUAACAUUUUUUAUCAAAAGAAAGAAAUACAUAGCAAAUAACUUGGUAUUACAUAUAUUUUUUCCAGAUCUGGCCGACUACUCUACCCGAAGUUGUAUUAUUCUGUAGCCGCCACAUCGAGCACCGCUUAGUGCUCGCGGGACAUAAAUCGGAGUUCAUCGCCAUGGGAGAAAGUCGCCGCCGGAGACGCCUUGUUGACGCGUUUGCUGCUGCUGCUCGUGGGGGCAGACGCUGGUGUGGGCAUCUCCUCCGGGCGAGGAAAUGGCGGUGGCGCUGGAUCCCGUCAGCGAUAUGACGCUUUCGCGAUGGCCGAUGACCCAAGCGAGGCGGGAGGUCGGGAACGUGGCGCCGGUGUCCAGAUCCGGCCGGAUCUCGACGAAAUCGAAGGAGAAUGGCGGCUGGGGGGUGAGCUCGGGCGACGCCAUGGGCGCUCGGCCUUCAUUGCUGCAGGGAGAGGCAAAGAGAGAUGAGAGAUGUGAGAGGAGAGAGGAGAGCAGAUGAGAGAAAUAGGCGACGAAAGGCGUGGCUCAGCGGGGAGCUGCGGCCCGUCACGCGGAGUCGCGGACGGCGACCCGUCGCGCGGACGACGACCGAUGGCUACAAGCUCUGCUCUUCCUCGGGCC